AUUGAACGCUGGCGGCAUGCCUCACACAUGCAAGUCGAACGGCAGCACGGGUGCUUGCACCUGGUGGCGAGUGGCGAACGGGUGAGUAAUACAUCGGAACGUACCUUAUCGUGGGGGAUAGCGCAGCGAAAGCUGUGCUAAUACCGCAUACGCCCUGAGGGGGAAAGCGGGGGAUCGCAAGACCUCGCGCGAUUAGAGCGGCCGAUGCCUGAUUAGCUAGUUGGUGGGGUAAAAGCCCACCAAGGCGACGAUCAGUAGCUGGUCUGAGAGGACGAUCAGCCACACUGGGACUGAGACACGGCCCAGACUCCUACGGGAGGCAGCAGUGGGGAAUUUUGGACAAUGGGGGCAACCCUGAUCCAGCAAUGCCGCGUGAGUGAAGAAGGCCUUCGGGUUGUAAAGCUCUUUUGUCAGGGAAGAAACACCGGCUCUAACACAGUCCGGGAAUGACGGUACCUGAAGAAUAAGCACCGGCUAACUACGUGCAGCAGCCGCCGUAA
rnacentral:rRNA from 1 species